rnacentral:rRNA from 1 species
AUGCAGUCGCACGAGAAGGCGGGGCAACUCGCCGAGUAAAGUGGCGCAAGGGUGAGGAAUACAUGGGCAACGUACCCUGAGCACGAGGAUAGCCGUGGGAAACUGCGGGUAAUACUCGAUUAGACCACGACCUCAUAAGAGGUUGCGGUCAAUGGGCGGGGAUCCGCAAGGACCUGUCGGCUCUAGAGCGGCCCAUGUCCUAUCAGCUAGUUGGUGAGGUAACGGCCCACCAAGGCGACGACGGGUAGCGGGACUGAGAGGUUGGCCCGCCACAUUGGCACUGAGACACUGGCCAGACUCCUACGGGAGGCUGCAGUAACGAAUAUUCCGCAAUGGGCGAAAGCCUGACGGAGCGACGCCGCGUGUGGGAAGAAGGUCUUCGGAUUGUAAACCACUGUGAGGGGUUACCAAGUGAACCGCCUUAACAAGGCGGGGAUCUGAGGAGCCCCAGAGGAAGCCACGGCUAACUCUGUGCCAGCAGCCGCGGUAAGACAGAGGUGGCAAGCGUUGUUCGGAAUCAUUGGGCUUAAAGGGCGCGUAGGCGGCCCGACAAGUGUCUUGUGAAAUCCCUCGGCUCAACCGAGGAGUUGCUGGGCAUACUGUCAGGCUUGAGGCAGGAAAGGGCGAGUGGAACUCUUGGUGGAGCGGUGGAAUGCGUAGAUAUCAAGAGGAACGCCGGUGGUGAAGACGACUCGCUGGGCCUGUCCUGACGCUGAGGCGCGAAAGCCAGGGGAGCAAACGGGAUUAGAUACCCCGGUAGUCCUGGCCCUAAACGAUGCCGACUAGAUCGGAGUCACUCUGACGUGCCUCUGGUCGCAAUGAAAACGUUAAGUCGGCCGCCUGGGGAGUACGGUCGCAAGGCUAAAACUCAAGGAAUUGACGGGGGCUCACACAAGCGGUGGAGUAUGUUGUUCAAUUCGAUGCAACGCGAAGAACCUUAUCCUGGGCUUGACAUGCCAGAGCCUCUACCUUGGAAAGAGGAUAGAGUUUUCCUUCGGGUGGUAGCUUGCCCAUGUGCCUGCAUGACUGUCGUCAGCUUCGUGGCCUUGA